rnacentral:rRNA from 1 species
UACGGGAGGCAGCAGGUGGGGAAUAUUGCACAAUGGGCGAAAGCCUGAUGCAGCUAUGCCGCGUGUAUGAAGAAGGCCUUAGGGUUGUAAAGUACUUUCAUCGGGGAGGAAAAAACAAAACUAAUAAUUUUAUUUCUUGACGUUACCCGAAAAAGAAGCACCGGCUAACUCCGUGCCAGCAGCCGCGGUAAUACGGAGGGUGCUAGCGUUAAUCAGAAUUACUGGGCGUAAAGAGCACGUAGGUGGUUUUUUUAAGUCAGAUGUGAAAUCCCUGGGCUUAACCUAGGAACUGCAUUUUGAAACUGAAAUACUAGAGUAUCGUAGAGGGAGGUAGAAUUCUAGGUGUAGCGGUGAAAUGCGUAGAUAUCUGGAGGAAUACCUGUGGCGAAAGCGGCCUCCUAAACGAAUACUGACACUGAGGGUGCGAAAGCUGGGGAGCAAACGAGGGAUUAGGAUACC